rnacentral:rRNA from 1 species
GAUGAACGCUGGCGGCGUGCCUAAUACAUGCAAGUCGAGCGAAUGGAUUAAGAGCUUGCUCUUAUGAAGUUAGCGGCGGACGGGUGAGUAACACGUGGGUAACCUGCCCAUAAGACUGGGAUAACUCCGGAAAACCGGGGCUAAUACUGGAUAACAUUUUGAACCGCAUGGUUCGAAAUUGAAAGGCGGCUUCGGCUGUCACUUGUGGAUGGACCCGCGUCGCAUUAGCUAGUUGGUGAGGUAACGGCUCACCAAGGCAACGAUGCGUAGCCGACCUGAGAGGGUGAUCGGCCACACUGGGACUGAGACACGGCCCAGACUCCUACGGGAGGCAGCGGUAGGGAAUCUUCCGCAAUGGACGAAAGUCUGACGGAGCAACGCCGCGUGAGUGAUGAAGGCUUUCGGGUCGUAAAACUCUGUUGUUAGGGAAGAACAAGUGCUAGUUGAAUAAGCUGGCACCUUGACGGUACCUAACCAGAAAGCCACGGCUAACUACGUGCCAGCAGCCGCAGUAA